UACGGGGGGGGCAAGCGUUGUUCGGAAUUACUGGGCGUAAAGGGCGCGUAGGCGGCCUUCUAAGUCGGACGUGAAAUCCCUCGGCUUAACCGAGGAACUGCGUCCGAUACUGAAAGGCUUGAAUCCGGGAGAGGGAUGCAGAAUUCCAGGUGUAGCGGUGAAAUGCGUAGAUAUCUGGAGGAAUACCGGUGGCGAAGGCGGCAUCCUGGACCGACAUUGACGCUGAACGGCGAAAGCUAGGGGAGCAAACGGG
rnacentral:rRNA from 1 species